rnacentral:rRNA from 1 species
UACGGAGGGUGCAAGCGUUAUCCGGAUUCACUGGGUUUAAAGGGAGCGCAGGCGGCUUUGUAAGUCAGUGGUGAAAGGCUUAAGCUUAACUUGGGAACUGCCAUUGAUACUAUAAGUCUUGAAUGUUGUUGAGGUUUGCGGAAUGGGUCAUGUAGCGGUGAAAUGCAUAGAUAUGACCCGGAACACCUAUUGCGAAGGCAGCAGGCUAAACAAAUAUUGACGCUGAGGCUCGAAAGCGUGGGGAUCAAACAGG